rnacentral:rRNA from 1 species
UACGAAGGGGGCAAGCGUUGUUCGGAAUUACUGGGCGUAAAGGGCGCGUAGGCGGUACUUCAAGUCAGGCGUGAAAGCCCCGGGCUCAACCUCGGAACUGCCUUCGAUACUGCGGGUCUCGAGUCCGGGAGAGGUGAGUGGAAUUCCUAGUGUAGAGGUGAAAUUCGUAGAUAUUGGGAAGAACACCGGUGGCGAAGGCGGCGACCUGGUCCAUUACUGACGCUCAGGUGCGACAGCGUGGGGAGCAAACAGG